UACGUAGGGUGCAAGCGUUAAUCGGAAUUACUGGGCGUAAAGCGUGCGCAGGCGGUUUUGUAAGACAGAGGUGAAAUCCCCGGGCUCAACCUGGGAACUGCCUUUGUGACUGCAAGGCUGGAGUGCGGCAGAGGGGGGAUGGAAUUCCGCGUGUAGCAGUGAAAUGCGUAGAUAUGCGGAGGAACACCGAUGGCGAAGGCAAUCCCCUGGGCCUGCACUGACGCUCAUGCACGAAAAGCGUGGGGGAGCAAAACAGGAUUAGAUACCCCCGUAGUCC
rnacentral:rRNA from 1 species